AUUUAAAUAGCUUAAGUUAAGAGCAUGGCAUUGAAGAUGCUAGGGUGAUUAUUCAAGAUCUUUAAAUA
rnacentral:tRNA from 1 species